rnacentral:rRNA from 1 species
ACGCUGACAGAAUGCUUAACACAUGCAAGUCGAUGAUGGGAGCUAGCUUGCUAGAAGAAGUCAUGGCGGACGGGUGAGUAACGUGUAAAGAACUUACCAUAUAGACUGGGAUAACAGAGGGAAACUUCUGAUAAUACUGGAUAAGUUAGAAGUAGCAUUACUAAGUAAUGAAAGGUAGCAAUACGCUAUAUGAGAGCUUUGCAUCCUAUUAGCUAGUUGGUGGGGUAAAAGCCUACCAAGGCGAUGAUAGGUAGCCGGCCUGAGAGGGUGGACGGCCACAAGGGGACUGAGAUACGGCCCUUACUCCUACGGGAGGCAGCAGUGGGGAAUAUUGGACAAUGGAGGCAACUCUGAUCCAGCAAUUCUGUGUGUGUGAAGAAGGUUUUAGGACUGUAAAACACUUUUAGUAGGGAAGAAAGAAAUGACGGUACCUACAGAAGAAGCGACGGCUAAAUACGUGCCAGCAGCCGCGGUAAUACGUAUGUCGCGAGCGUUAUCCGGAAUUAUUGGGCUUAAAGGGCAUCUAGGCGGUUAAACAAGUUGAAGGUGAAAACCUGUGGCUCAACCAUAGGCUUGCCUACAAAACUGUAUAACUAGAGUACUGGAAAGGUGGGUGGAACUACACGAGUAGAGGUGAAAUUCGUAGAUAUGUGUAGGAAUGCCGAUGAUGAAGAUAACUCACUGGACAGCAACUGACGCUGAAGUGCGAAAGC